CACAUUAUGGAACCCCGUCUCGAAUAAGGAUUUCACCCUGCCUUCACCUUUCUUUAUCCCCGUUUUCCACCCCGAAGAACGUCGUUACACCGCUUCCGUUCGAGAGCCUCAGCUCGUCGCUUCAGCCGAUUUGCCAGGAGUUCGAGAUCCGGUUUCGUUGCAUCGGUCCUUCCACGGUCACUGAUUAAAUUGGAGAGUCGGGAAAAUCAGUGCAUCACGUCUGCCUCCGUCGAAAUUAAGGGAGGAGGGGGCUCCCAGUAUCGGAAACGCGUUUCGCCACGAUUAAGUGCACGGGGGUCUCUAAAUGGAGGAAGAAGCUCGUGGAAAAUGGUAAUUGAAUCGUCCGCUACCGAGAUUCCCCAAGAUAUGUAUCAAAUGAAUAAAUUUACAUACACGUGAAACUACUAACGCAAUAUAGAUUUUAUCCGUGUGGAGAUAUUUCGAGAUUAUUUUGAAAAUGGUUCAAAAUAUUCGUUUGGAAUAUUUUUUUUUUAAAAAUUCGUUACUGAAAUAUUUCCAAAAUUUACAUAUGUAUAAAUAACGAUAUCGAUUAUACUGAUAUAUAUAUAUAUAUAUAUAUAUAUAUAUAUAUAUAUGUUUUCGAAGAACAAAAAUAUAUUUUUCGAAUAAUUCUUAAGCUCGAGUGAACAAAAUUUUUAAACAGAGAUUCAAUUUUCGAUAUAAUUUGAUAAAUUGAUACCGAAUACAUAGAAGCGAUGUGUAGAAGCUUGAAUUUUACAAUAUACAAUUCCGCGAUUUGAACAUUGAAAAAUAAUUAAAACGAGACGAACGAUUAUCACGUCGCGAGGAAAUGAUGGCGAGAUGAAACAAAUCGUUCCAAGAAUUAUUAUUAAAGCAACAAGAGACAAAGAUCAUUCCCAGGCUGACAGCGAGCAUCUUUCACCGUACGACAAAUAAAUAGUCCCUCGUAAAAACAGUCUCAGUGGGUUAAUACGGUGUCGCUGGACCGGUUCCAGGGAGGAGGGGGGGGCGAGUGUGAUGCAAAUGGGCCGAGACCCCCCACGAGACCCGUUAAUGAGACGAUUUAGCCACGAAAUCGUGGACCAGCCUCGCGACCGGUCGAGAUCUUGCAUUAACGCGAUAUGACAGCGAGAUAGAUGUAACCCCCUCUCCUCCCCCUCUUUCUCCCUCCCUGACGGAGUCGUGAAGGCGUGAUGUUGCCACCGCCUCGACAAAAGGCGCAGCCGUGUUAAACGCGACAUAAAUCUUCCGUCCAAUGGCCUCCUCUCCUCCAUUCGAGAUCGUGGACCAACUAGUUUCCAGGUUCGACAAAAGUCGGUGUUAUUACAAUAAAGUGGGAGAUAAUGGAAGCCUAUAAUUCCAACGAUUCGUCUGGCCGGAAACGAGGGUUGGAGUCAUUGGACGAGAAGCCGGUAAAUCAGGAGGACCUCGAAGGACGUCUACGGAGGGGGUGGAAUUAGACGACGAGUAUAGGUGGACGAAGGAAGGAGCCAGGAUCUCCGGUAACAGGAUGUAAUUAUGAUCGGAUAUAACAUCAACCCCUUUUAAGAAAUCCACUCUCACUGAAAAAUACAAAUCGCCACGGAAAGAAAAGAAAAAAGACGUACUUUUCCCGUUAUUUUCCCUUAGAAUUAUCGAAGAAGAAAACGCAAAGAAUAUAAAGAUCUCGAGUUGACCAAAAAUAAUUAAAAAACAGCCGAGUCACUGAUAUUU